UCCAAAUCCAUAGCUCAGUUGGGAGUGCGUUGACUAUAGAAUGAAAGGUCCUUGGUUCGAUCCCGGGAUUCGGCA
rnacentral:tRNA from 1 species